AGUCAUAUGCUUGUCUCAAAGAUUAAGCCAUGCAUGUCUAAGUACAGGCCUAAGCAAGGCGAAACCGCGAAUGGCUCAUUAAAUCAGUUAUGGUUCAUUGGAUCUUACCCUUUCUUACUUGGAUAACUGUGGUAAUUCUAGAGCUAAUACAUGCCAACCAGUAGCUCCGACACACUCCCGUGUGGAAGAGCGCUUUUAUUAGAUCAAAACCAGUCCUCCCCCGGGAGGUCAAACCCCUUCGUGGUGACUCUGAAUAACUUUUAGCUGAGCGCACGGGCUCCGCCCCGGCGCCGCAUCUUUCAAGUGUCUGCCUUAUCAGCUUUCGAUUGUAGGUUAUGCGCCUACAAUGGCUAUAACGGGUAACGGGGAAUCAGGGUUCGAUUCCGGAGAGGGAGCCUGAGAAACGGCUACCACAUCUAAGGAAGGCAGCAGGCACGCAAAUUACCCACUCCCGGCUCGGGGAGGUAGUGACGAAAAAUAACGAUGCGGGACUCAUCCGAGGCCUCGCAAUCGGAAUGAGUACACUUUAAAUCCUUUAACGAGGAUCUAUUGGAGGGCAAGU
rnacentral:rRNA from 1 species